rnacentral:misc_RNA from 1 species
GGUAAGAUCUCAAGUCCCUUCCUCCUAGAUUAUGUAAUAAAUUUUUAAUAGUUGUGGAAGGAAGAACUAUAAAUAUUACUUAAGUUUUGAUUGUAUAGGAUACCAGAGUGGUGAGGUUAAAGAAGGUAGAAUACUUGUCAAGUGGGUGAAAGGUUCUUGUUCCAUUUUAUACAAGGUAGAUUCAAGGAAUCAUGGGCUGCCUUACUUGAAUUACUUAGGUCUCCUUGUUGAUCAUAUGUAAAAUGUCCCAAUUGAGUUGAACUAAAUGUGCUUAAUUUAACAAUGUGAUUAUGUGGAUGAUGCAAGUAAUAUGGUUGUCAUGUUUGAACCAGUAAGCAAAUUUGUAUGCAAAUGCAAUUACAUGAAGUGAAUAAUUGUGUAUUGAUUUUUAAUGACUCUUGAUGUUGUGAUUUAAUCAAAUGCAAGUAGUCCUCCAGCCUUGUGUAUUUGAGUAAUUGUAUUAUUGAAAGAGGAAAUAGGAGAAAUUACUAUUACUAUUAUGACUUCUUAUAUAAUAAGCACAUAGAGUGAACUGUGAUAAGAGUGUAAAGGUGACUCGUAUCUUUGGAAUGGUAUUGAAUAGGCAGUUAUCAGUGUUGACCUGGCUGCUUAGUGAUUGGGAUAUUUAACUAUUUUGAGGUUGUGGUGAAUAGGGAUGACACAAGUAUGAUAGAGCGAAAAUUUCAAGUAUAAAUGAGAUGUAAGAAGUAUGCCCUAUAUAUGUACAACAUAAGGAGGUAGUGAAGGUGGAACAGUUUAUUUAUUGAUGAGUAUAUUAAGCCUCCAUAAUCAUUAAUCAAGUAAAAAGUAAGUAUGGAAUUAUGGAAUAGUAAAAUUUACUUGAUUCAUAUUCUUACUCUAAAAAUGAGGGUUGUCCAUAGAAGAAAGUUAUUACAAAUGUUGAUUCUAGAUUGUGUUUGAAGUUACAUGUUGAGAAUAUUGUAAUUAGAUGAAGUGUAGUGUACAGUAUGGAGUUCUGAGAGGUAAUAAAUAAAAAUAAGCACAAAAAGGGUGAUAUGGAAUUCAAGUAAUAUAAAUGAUGAUUAUCUAUUGUAAAUGAAAUUUAAGGAAUUAAAUUUUGUUGUGAUGAUUGAUGAAACAAGAGAUGAAAUGUCAGUUUAGCUUGCGUAUGACAUGUUAAAUGAUGCGAACCAUUGACUUGAAUAUAUGAAUGUGUGAGUGAACUUCUCAUCUUACUUUCUCUUCAGUCUUUUAAUUCUUUUUCUUAUGAACCUUAAAUGGUGGGUUAUAUUGAGCAUUUUAAGCUUUAAAAGUUUGACGAAUAGUUAGUGAAUUUGAUUUCUAAAUUGAGUUGUUUUGAAUCCUGUUUUGAGCCUAGUAACUUAGAGCUUAUGAGUAUAAAAUGUAAAUAUCCUAUUCUGUGUCUGUGUACUUAACUCAAGAAAAUUUUGCAUUUUACUUGGGUAUUGGAAUUGUUCUUUUUCCAUUUAGAUUGAGAAUGAAUAUUUUCUCAGAAGAUUUAUGAAUGUAAGAGUAUUAAAAUUUUAUGUCAUCGAGCUGAUUUGUGGUUUGAAAUACGUUGUUGGAUAAAGAAACUUGUGAAUGUAUAGGCUUUCAAGCAAAUGACAUUGACGUAGGAGUGAAAGACAUGGCCUAGGCCGUGUUGUGAAGACUUGGAACAUGACCAAGACAUGUCCCUGUCUACUUAUGUUUAGCUCAAUUUCUGGCGGAACAAGUUACCAAGUGUUUGGCUUUGUAUAAUCUUGCAAAUCAGAAGCAUAGAUCAAGUUAUAGUCAAUAGAUGUAUGGUGCAUGUAUGUAAAUAGUGUUUAAUUAAAGGUAUAAUCAUAGUUUAGGGUCAGGAAAAUAAUGUAAUUUGAUUAAUGAAGAUAAGAGAAUUUAUGGAUUAUGCAGAUAGAAUUUUUAACAACACUGCUAUGUACAAUUUAGAGAUAUAAAGAUACAAGAGUACUCUUAGUUGGUGGUUUAGAGGUAACACCGUUGUAAUAUUCUUUUAACAGAAUUAAGCUGUGUGCUAAGUAAGCUAGAAUGAGAUUGUAUAUUUUGUUAAACAAAGUUUAGCUGGGAAGUGAUUGAUAUUAAAUUGACUUUAGUAUAGUAUAUUAUGUGUUUAUGUAUAGAUUUUGUGAAAGUAAAUAUAAGGUUGUAUUGGAGUGUAUUUAAAGGAAUAUUGGAAAUUUACUUCUCAUCAGAAUAAAAAAGGGGAAAAUAAAGGUAUAUGUUAAACUAAAAGUCUAGUGUUUAAAACAAGAGAAAGAGAUAUUAUGCCCUAACUGCACAUCACAGAGGGGAGGUAAAGAAGUAGUUUGCUACUAGGAUUCUGAAAAGCUGCUAUGCAGCUACAAAUUUAGAACCAGGUUUCUCUGCCAUAGAUGUGAAAGUAGCUUUUCUUCUAGAGAAUUACAGAAGUUUGCUUCUGAAAGAUGAGAACUGAGUUUCACUCCAAAUGUUUCCUCUCAACCCGGUGGUGUUGCAUUAGGGCCUAAAGAUAGUGAAUAGGAACUAUAAAUUCUAAAGGAAAAAAAAAAGGAAGUUAUAAUAUUGAUAGUUAGUUGCUCAAUGGGGCUUUAAUAUGUUAAUUGAAUUGAAAUCAAGUAACAGCGUGAAAAUGGACAGUGGCAUAGAAUAUGGGUGUUAUAAAAAUAAUCGGGUUUGGGCGAGUUUGGUAGUAUGUGGGUAAUAGUAAUCAGAUUUGAAAUGGGCUUGGGUAAUAAGUUAUUUAUUUUAAUCAGGUUUAGUAUGGGUUUGGGUUCAGAUAUUUUAAAAUUUGUAGUACCCUACCCAUUGCCAUCUCUACUGAUUCCUUAUUGAUUUCUCUUGCAGACUAUAAUCUGUGCUACUCUUAACACUAUCACUGACGAUGGCUAAGAAGCGAAAGCAUGAUUCCAAAGUCACUGAACCAACCGAACCUCCAAAAAAGCAGCAGCAACAACAGAAACAGAAACAGAAAGAAGAAAUCGUGGAACACGUCAAUGAAGAAGAAUUCGAGGAAGUCGAAGAAGAGGAGGAAGAUGAAGUAGAUGAAGAAGUGGAAGAUGAAGAAAAAGAGGAUGAUGACAAUGAUGAAGAUGAAGAUAAUUCUCUACAAAAUAAUCAGAAUCAGAUCAAUGAUGAAGAUGAUGAACCUAUAGAAAAACUUCUUGAGCCAUUUAGCAAAGAGCAAUUGGUCAAUUUGCUUCGGGAUGCUGCUAAUACCCACCAAGAUGUUGAUGAUAGGAUACGUAGGAUAGCUGAUGAGGACCCUGUGCAUAGGAAGAUCUUUGUGCACGGCCUUGGCUGGGACACCACCGCUGAGACCCUCAUGAAUGCAUUUAAGACCUACGGCGAGGUUGAGGAUUGCAAGGCGGUGUGCGACAAGGUGUCUGGUAAAUCCAAGGGCUAUGGAUUCAUCCUUUUCAAGAAGCGAAGUGGGGCUCGCAAGGCCCUCAAGGAACCUCAGAAGAAGAUUGGCAAUCGGAUGACUGCUUGCCAGCUCGCUUCCAUUGGCCCUGUCUUAACCGCUGGUUCGGGAACCCCUGCACAGCAGCAGGUGUCCGAGUAUACUCUAAGGAAGAUUUAUGUGAGCAAUGUUGGUUCUGAUUUGGAUCCGCAGGAGCUGACUAACUUCUUUGCCAAGUAUGGGGAGAUUGAGGAAGGCCCACUUGGCCUAGACAAGGCAACUGGGAAGCCCAAGGGAUUUUGUUUGUUUGUAUACAGGAACGUUGAGAGCGCCAAGAAGGCACUCGAAGAACCACACAAGAACUUUGAGGGUCACAUUUUGCAUUGCCAGAAAGCAAUUGAUGGGCCUAAACCCGGUAAAUCUAUGCAGCAGCAACAGCAUCGUAAUGUGCGGAACUCGCAUUUUCAGAGGAAUGAUAAUCCUGCUUAUGCUAGUGGAACUGCUCCGGGGCCAGGUCAUUUGAUGGCACCUUCUGCUGGACCUGGGAUUGGUUUUAACCAGGGUGCAGGAGCUGCAGCUGCAUCUGCUUUGAACCCUGCACUUGGUCAGGCACUGACAGCCUUGCUUGCAUCGCAGGGUGCUGGAUUUGGCCUCACUAAUUUGCUAGGAACUUUGGGCUCUGCAGCUGCUGUUAACCCGGGCAGUGUGCCUGGUGCAGCACCUGGAAUGCAGGGUGCCUAUGGUAAUCAAGCAAAUAUAAGUCCCGGAGUGAUUGGAUCUUAUGGAAAUCAAGGAGUGAUGCAGGGUGGGUACUCAAAUCAGCAGCUGGGCCAAGGUGGUUCUGGAAGAGGGCAUGGUGUUGGGCAAUAUGGUGGUGCUGCACCUUACAUGGGUCACUAGAUAUCUUACAUACUUGGUAAGAUACGCUUUGUGUUUGUCUUAUGACUUCAGAAACCAUUGGAAACAAUACUAUACACAUGCACAUAUUUAUUAGUUUUAUUGCAUUUGUCAUUUGGGAACAUAGUUGUGUUGUAGGCACAACUUACAGUUCUAAGUCUUUAGAACUUCUUCAAUGCCAUAUCUUCAUUCGAAAAGGAUUCAGUGUGUUAUUAGCCAUUUUUCGGAAUUUAUGCAUUCACUAAUCAAUUGAUGUACUUGAUCAAUCUUAUGUUGGCUUCAGAUUUUCUGUCAAUUUUUGUAAAAUCUGUGCUACUUUAAUAGCUUCACUUUGGAUUUGCAAUAUUUGUUAUUGCAUUUUUGUACCUGUUUUUCUCUGAAAAGUGAGCUAUUCUGAGUUUUGAAUGAUAUGUACACAAAGUCACAAACAAAUGUGUUAGAAUUGUUUUCUGCAUUGAUUAUUAAAACUACUUGGCGCAAGUCAUUUGUGUGACCAUUGUAACAAUUUUGCUUUCUUCAUUAUUUUUGCAUCGAAUUAAUGUAAUAGUUAUUUGAUCAUUCUUAAGCUAUGGAUAUAUAUUUUAAUUAUGCUUUUAACCAUUUUUGGAAGGAUUUUAACCCUGAUUCUCUUUUGAAAUUUUUGUCUUUAUGUUUUCCUACUCAUUUUGCAGAUCCCAUAUAGGUGCAUCAGUCUUUUAAGUAAUGGCCUGCAGAUUCUUCUGAAGUUUAUGGAGCUUAUGCAAAUGAAGUCUUUAUAAAUAUGACCCAACCCUUUUGGUUACUAGAAAGACUCUUAAAAUGUAUUUCUGGUUUUUUCCUACUUAGCUUUGUUCCUCCUGCAUUUUCUUUUAUUUAAAAACAUUGUAUUUUGAGUUUCAGUAUUUAGUUUAAAAGCUUUGGAAACAAGUUGACUACUACUUUCAUGAAUAAUGUGUGUAUUGGUGUGCAGUGAAUUAGAUUGAGCAAAAGUACUUUUACCUAGUUUUCAGUCAUGCAAUUUUGGCCUUUUAAACCAUUCUUUCAUAUUUAAUUUACUUGUUUGUGGAAAAAUUUUAUGACCUUAAUUUUCUGUUCUUUCUCAAUCUUAUUUUACUGGUUUUGCAAGUUGCACUAUGAAUUAUAAACCAGAAAUAUAAUUUAUUCUUUAUAUGGUGGUUGUCCAUGAUGUGUGUUUCAUAUAAUCACAGAGUGUAGAUUCUUCUUGAAAUUUUAUUGCCAGUGAUUUUUUAUGCAGGUUAAGCCAACCAUUUGUUAGUACUAACUUGCAGAAACAGUAUGCAGUUGGAUGAAAAUAUGACUGUUCAAAACUUAAAAAGAAACCAAUAUCCAUCGGUGGUGGUAUAUUAAAAGUUUCUUUGUAUUUGACAACUUUUCCUCUCCCUGGGACGUGUUUCCUCAGUUCUGCGAUGGGUGUUACUUUAGUUUUAGGAUCGAUUGUUUGUAUGUUAAAAGUGACAAAAUUCUUUUGCUUGGAACAUCGUCAUAUUUCAUUAUGCUUACUAUUUUUGAAGGAGUUCUAAAUUAAUGUUAUGACCAAAAUUGAUUCAUGUCGUUGGAGCUUUGGCUGGGGAGGGGUCUUCAGAUUUGAUGUUGUUCUCCUCAAUGAACAGGUUAAAGCUCAAGAUUUGACUUGAUUAUUAUAUGCAAUAUUGUUUCUUAAGU